AGAGUUUGAUCAUGGCUCAGAUUGAACGCUGGCGGCAGGCCUAACACAUGCAAGUCGAACGGUAACAGGAAGCAGCUUGCUGCUUUGCUGACGAGUGGCGGACGGGUGAGUAAUGUCUGGGAAACUGCCUGAUGGAGGGGGAUAACUACUGGAAACGGUGGCUAAUACCGCAUAACGUCGCAAGACCAAAGAGGGGGACCUUCGGGCCUCUUGCCAUCAGAUGUGCCCAGAUGGGAUUAGCUAGUUGGUGAGGUAACGGCUCACCAAGGCGACGAUCCCUAGCUGGUCUGAGAGGAUGACCAGCCACACUGGAACUGAGACACGGUCCAGACUCCUACGGGAGGCAGCAGUGGGGAAUAUUGCACAAUGGGCGCAAGCCUGAUGCAGCCAUGCCGCGUGUAUGAAGAAGGCCUUCGGGUUGUAAAGUACUUUCAGCGGGGAGGAAGGUGUUGUGGUUAAUAACCGCAGCAAUUGACGUUACCCGCAGAAGAAGCACCGGCUAACUCCGUGCCAGCAGCCGCGGUAAUACGGAGGGUGCAAGCGUUAAUCGGAAUUACUGGGCGUAAAGCGCACGCAGGCGGUCUGUCAAGUCGGAUGUGAAAUCCCCGGGCUCAACCUGGGAACUGCAUUCGAAACUGGCAGGCUUGAGUCUUGUAGAGGGGGGUAGAAUUCCAGGUGUAGCGGUGAAAUGCGUAGAGAUCUGGAGGAAUACCGGUGGCGAAGGCGGCCCCCUGGACAAAGACUGACGCUCAGGUGCGAAAGCGUGGGGAGCAAACAGGAUUAGAUACCCUGGUAGUCCACGCCGUAAACGAUGUCUACUUGGAGGUUGUGCCCUUGAGGCGUGGCUUCCGGAGCUAACGCGUUAAGUAGACCGCCUGGGGAGUACGGCCGCAAGGUUAAAACUCAAAUGAAUUGACGGGGGCCCGCACAAGCGGUGGAGCAUGUGGUUUAAUUCGAUGCAACGCGAAGAACCUUACCUGGUCUUGACAUCCACAGAAGAAUCCAGAGAUGGAUUUGUGCCUUCGGGAACUGUGAGACAGGUGCUGCAUGGCUGUCGUCAGCUCGUGUUGUGAAAUGUUGGGUUAAGUCCCGCAACGAGCGCAACCCUUAUCCUUUGUUGCCAGCGGUCCGGCCGGGAACUCAAAGGAGACUGCCAGUGAUAAACUGGAGGAAGGUGGGGAUGACGUCAAGUCAUCAUGGCCCUUACGACCAGGGCUACACACGUGCUACAAUGGCGCAUACAAAGAGAAGCGACCUCGCGAGAGCAAGCGGACCUCAUAAAGUGCGUCGUAGUCCGGAUUGGAGUCUGCAACUCGACUCCAUGAAGUCGGAAUCGCUAGUAAUCGUGGAUCAGAAUGCCACGGUGAAUACGUUCCCGGGCCUUGUACACACCGCCCGUCACACCAUGGGAGUGGGUUGCAAAAGAAGUAGGUAGCUUAACCUUCGGGAGGGCGCUUACCACUUUGUGAUUCAUGACUGGGGUGAAGUCGUAACAAGGUAACCGUAGGGGAACCUGCGGUUGGAUCACCU
rnacentral:rRNA from 1 species